CCCUGUGCAAGACAAUUGCUUCCUGCAAACAGCAGUUACUGACUAAAGAGCAAAGGAGUAAAUAGCUGCUUCCAGAGCCAGAAUCCGAAGACUAUGUCGCAGACGCGUCCUGAGAGCACACAAGAGUGAGAAGACAACGAGCUGUGUGGACCAGAUGGCAGAUGAAAUGACACUCAGAGCUGAGGUUAAAGACAAAGGGAGAGUAAAC